rnacentral:ncRNA from 1 species
GAGGAAGGUGGGGAUGACGUCAAGUCAUCAUGGCCCUUACGACCAGGGCUACACACGUGCUACAAUGGCG